AAACAACAGACAUUUAUUUCUCAUGCUUCCGGAGGCUGGGAAAUCCAAGAUCAAGGCACUGGCGAUUCAGUUCCUAGUUGAAAGUCUCUUUAGCUUGCACAUGGCCACCUUCUUGCUGUGUCCUCACAUGGUGGAGAGAGGGAGCGCUGGUAUUUCUUCUUCUUUAUACGCUUAUUAAUCCCAUCAUGAGGGCUACAUCCUCAGGACUUCAUCUGAACCUAAUCGCCUCCCAAAGACCCCACUUCCAAUACCAUGAAAACGAGGGUUAAGGCUUCAGCAUGUAAUUGGUGUGGGGGGCACAAACAUUAGGUCUAUAACACAGUAAAGAGUCUGACUCCUUUUUUAACUUUUGAAUGCUGACAGCUUUUUUAAAAAAAAGUUUAUAUAUUUAUUUUGAGAGAGAGAGAGCAUGAGCAGGGGAGAGGCAGAGAGAGAGAGAGAGAAUCCCAAGCAGGCUCUGCACUGCCAGUACAGAGCCCGACAUGGGGCUCCUCUCAUGAAGAGUGAGAUCAUGAUCCGAGCUAAAAUCAAGAGAUGGAAUGCUUAACCACUGAGCCACCCAGGUGUCCCUGAAUGCCGACAGCUUUUAAGCCCCACCACUCCCUCUUUCCUUAUUUUAGACUUGGGCCAGCUCAUAAGAAAGCCUAAGUGCCCCAUCCAUUCGUCUCAGCACGAAGUUCAAACUAUGCAAGCCUUGGUCCAUGCAUGGGAACACUUAUCCCUAGUCCCACUCUCCAAUGAUUUCCCAGCCAGUCUCCUUUUUCUGCUCUCUUAAGCCAUUUUUAGACCUGCUUGGAAAGUUUCCAGGCUGCCUCUAGAAAUCCUCAUAUGUGUAUAAUAAGUCUCAUAUCUUCUUGGUAUGUGCUUUAUGUCAUCAGUCUUGACAUUUCAACCAAAUUUUGGUUGGAGGUAUUCAUUCCACCAUCACAACUACGAUAAUUUUUCUCUUGGAGUUAUGAGACAAGAAUGUAAAAAUAACUAUGAUAAAUAGAAUAUAAAGAGAAUAUUUAGAAAAAAAGAUGGGCAUUUGAAUGAUGCAGGACUGAUGCAGAGAAUUGGAAUCUAUAAAAAUUCAAAUAGGCAUUCAAGAACUAAAAAACCUUAGUAUUUGAAAUUAAGGAUUCAUUGAAUGGAUUUAGCUGCAGAUGACAGGAUUAGUGAGCUCAAAGACAUGUGUAUAGAUGUACUCAAACUGAAGUACAGACAGAGAAAAUAAUGAAGAUAAUAGAUCAGAGUAUAAGAUACAUAUUGGGACACAGUCAUAAUAUCGAUCAUGCAUCUAAUUGGAUUCUCAGAAAAAGGGAGGGAGAGAGAAUAAGAAAAGCAUAUUCGAAGAGAUAAAGGGCAAGAGUUGUCAGAAUCAGAGAAACACAUCAACUCAUAGAUGCACAAAGCUCAGUGAAUCCCAAGUUAAAGAAAAACAAAGACAACUACACAGAGGUGCAAACCAAAGACAAUGAGAAAAUGUUAAAAGCAGCCAGGAAAAAUCAAAACACAUCAUAUUCCAAGGAGCAACAAUGAGUUAUGGCUGACAUGUUGAUCGCAACUAUGAAAUCUAGACGACAAUGGAAAGGCAUUUUUAACUGUACAAAAAAAGUUCUAUAUCCUGUGAAUUUUUUUUUCACAAAUAAAGACAAUUCAUGGUCCUCUUUCCUUUCCCUUUUCUUCUCUUCCAUUUCUGAACAAUUUAAAGCCAUCAGGUGGGGCAGAACAAGGCGUGGCGUGGAUGCAUUUGUGUGCACGGUGUAGAGAGUGGAGGAAGCCAUGGUGGCCCAGAGCAGGAUGUCAGAGCCCAGACAGGAUGAGAAGGGCAUUCCCAUGGGAGGGAAGCCAGAUGUGGGGUGUCAGAUCCUGAGCAGGGUGAGGAGGGGGGAGGAGGUUUGGGUUUAGUGAGAGAGGGAGUUAUAAAUAUAGAAAAGGAGAAAACUGGAAUGAACCCUGUGAUAUUUAUUUGGAAAAGAAUAUAUCUGAGUGGAUUCAUCUAUAUAUACACAUAUAUUAAUACAUUAUAAUAAUAUAUGCAUAUAUAACAGAUAUAUAAUAGAUACUAUAUGUAUGUAUACAUAUGCAUACAUAUUCUCAAGCUGUGUUCACACAGAGCCAGGAGUGGAUACAUCUCAUUAGCAAGACCUAGAUUUUGUUUUCUAAACAACGGUUUCAAAGAAAGAAGGCAGGGAUCCCCAGAGAAUGGCUGGUUCCAGGACUGGGCAGGGAAAGCACAAGGCGAGUCUGGAGCAUCCUGGGCCAAAAUGCACAGAAGCACUCAAAGAAUAAUGGGGACAUGUCAGAAGGAUACAGAAGCUGUCUUGAAGUGGCUUCCACCGAUCGAAUCGGGGACAUCUGAAAAUCAAAAUAAAUAGUAAAUUGGAUUAUAAUCCUUUGAAUAA
rnacentral:lncRNA from 1 species